CCUACGGGAGGCAGCAGUAAGGAAUAUUGGACAAUGCUCGCAAGAGUGAUCCAGCCAUGCCGCGUGCAGGAAGAAUGCCCUAUGGGUAGUAAACUGCUUUUGAACUAGAGAAAACCCCAGUACGUGUACUGGGCUGAUAGUAUAGUUAGAAUAAGCAUCGGCUAACUUCGUGCCAGCAGCCGCGGUAAGACGAAGGAUGCAAGCGUUAUCCGGAUUCAUUGGGUUUAAAGGGAGCGUAGGUGGACUGAUAAGUCAGUGGUGAAAUCUCCGAGCUUAACUCGGAAAUUGCCAUUGAUACUGUUGGUCUUGAGUACAGUUGCUGUGGGCGGAAUAUGACAUGUAGUGGUGAAAUACAUAGAGAUGUCAUAGAACACCGAUUGCGAAGGCAGCUCACAAAGCUGUAACUGACACUGAGGCUCGAAAGUGCGGGGAUCAAACAGGAUUAGAUACCCUGGUAGUCCGCACCGUAAACGAUGAUUACUCGCUGCUAGGGGGCAACCUUUAGUGGCUUAGCGAAAGCGAUAAGUAAUCCACCUGGGGAGUACGCCGGCAACGGUGAAACUUAAAGAGUAGUAGACGUGAGAGNGCGACGGAGACACAGGGAGGUAGG
rnacentral:rRNA from 1 species